rnacentral:rRNA from 1 species
GACGAACGCUGGCGGCGUGCCUAACACAUGCAAGUCGAACGGAGAAUUAGCAAUAAUUCUUAGUGGCGAACGGGUGAGUAACGCGUAGACAACCUACCCUUUAGAUGGGGACAACACCGCGAAAGUGGUGCUAAUACCGAAUAUUGCUUGAGAAGCGCAUGCUUUUCAAACUAAAGAUGGCCUCUACUUAUAAGCUAUCGCUAAAGAAUGGGUCUGCGUCUGAUUAGCUAGUUGGUGAGAUAAAAGCUCAACAAGGCAACGAUCAGUAGCCGGUCUGAGAGGAUGAACGGCCACACUGGGACUGAGACACGGCCCAGACUCCUACGGGAGGCAGCAGUGGGGAAUCUUCCGCAAUGGACGAAAGUCUGACGGAGCAACGCCGCGUGAGUGAAGAAGGUUUUCGGAUUGUAAAGCUCUGUCUUCUGGGAAGAAUGGUCUCUAUGUAAAUAAUGUAGGGACAUGACGGUACUAGAGGAGGAAGCCACGGCUAACUACGUGCCAGCCGCCGCGGUAA